rnacentral:rRNA from 1 species
UACGUAGGGUGCAAGCGUUAAUCGGAAUUACUGGGCGUAAAGCGUGCGCAGGCGGCUUUGCAAGACAGAUGUGAAAUCCCCGGGCUUAACCUGGGAACUGCAUUUGUGACUGCAUGGCUAGAGUGCGGCAGAGGGGGAUGGAAUUCCGCGUGUAGCAGUGAAAUGCGUAGAUAUGCGGAGGAACACCGAUGGCGAAGGCGAUCCCCUGGGCAUGCACUGACGCUCAUGCACGAAAGAGUGGGGAGCAAGCAGG